UUCCAUCGCAAGGCUUGCCUCUCUGUUCACGAAUCGUCGUCACGCAUGCAUCGGUCGUCCAUUUUUCGUAAGAGUUCGACAAAAAACUGAAAAUUACAUCGCAAAAAGACAAAAAUUUCACAAAUCAUAUCUAUUAUAAGAACUUUGAAACCGUAGCACAGUGCAUUUCAGUGGCCUUUAAAAUACUGCUCAACCCAAUAAGCAAUAGCAAUAUAAAUUAGUUUUACAAUUCAACUGCAACUGGGAAACGUUCGUGCGCGUAUGUACAAAAAAAGUAAAUAAAACGCGAGUGUGAAGUGGUGCAGAAAUUGUGGCGGAAGCAACUAUAUAUCAAUCGAACGCUUCCAACAACAAACCUGUGUGGCAAUAAAAACAACAAAAAUAUAUUUAAUAAAAAUAAAAA